rnacentral:rRNA from 1 species
GACGAACGCUGGCGGCAGGCUUAACACAUGCAAGUCGAACGGGCGUAGCAAUACGUCAGUGGCAGACGGGUGAGUAACACGUGGGAACCUCCCUAGGGGUACGGAACAACUCAGGGAAACUUGAGCUAAUACCGUAUACGUCCGAGAGGAGAAAGAUUUAUCGCCCUUAGACGGGCCCGCGUCGGAUUAGGUAGUUGGUGGGGUAACGGCCUACCAAGCCGACGAUCCGUAGCUGAUCUGAGAGGAUGAUCAGCCACACUGGGACUGAGACACGGCCCAGACUCCUACGGGAGGCAGCAGUGGGGAAUCUUGGACAAUGGGCGCAAGCCUGAUCCAGCCAUGCCGCGUGAGUGAAGAAGGCCUUAGGGUUGUAAAGCUCUUUUGGCAGGGACGAUAAUGACGGUACCUGCAGAAUAAGCCCCGGCAAACUUCGUGCCAGCAGCCGCCGUAAUAC